rnacentral:rRNA from 1 species
CGUUGAUACUGUAGAGCUAGAACAUAGAUGGAGUAGGCGGAAUGAAUCAUGUAGCGGUGACAUGCAUAGAUAUGAUUCAGAACACCGAUCGCGAAGGCAGCUUACUAAGCUAUAGUUGACGCUGAGGCACGAAAGCGUGGGGAUCGAACAGGAUUAGAUACCCUGGUAGUCCACGCUGUAAACGAUGAUAACUAGAUGUUGGCGAUAGACAGUCAGUGUCGCAGCGAAAGUGAUAAGUUAUCCACCUGGGGAGUACGAUCGCAAGGUUGAAACUCAAAGGAAUUGACGGGGGCCCGCACAAGCGGAGGAGCAUGUGGUUUAAUUCGAUGAUACGCGAGGAACCUUACCUGGACUUGAACGUAUUAGGCAUAAUUUGGAAACAGAUUAGUUAGCAAUAACCUAAUACGAGGUGCUGCAUGGUUGUCGUCAGCUCGUGCCGUGAGGUGUCAGGUUAAGUCCUAUAACGAGCGCAACCCCUACACAUAGUUACCAACACGUCAUGGUGGGGACUCUAUGUGGACUGCCGGCGCAAGCUGAGAGGAAGGUGGGGAUGACGUCAAAUCAGCACGGCCCUUACGUCCAGGGCGACACACGUGCUACAAUGGCAGGUACAGAGGGCAGCUACACAGUGAUGUGAUGCGAAUCUCAAAAGCCUGUCUCAGUUCGGAUUGGAGUCUGCAACCCGACUCCAUGAAGUUGGAUUCGCUAGUAAUCGCAGAUCAGCCAUGCUGCGGUGAAUACGUUCCCGGGCCUUGUACACAC